rnacentral:rRNA from 1 species
CCUACGGGGGGCAGCAAUAUUGCGCAAUGGGGGAAACCCUGACGCAGCAACGCCGCGUGAACGAUGAAGGCUUUCGAGUCGUAAAGUUCUUUUCUGAGGGAAGAUAGUGACGGUACCUCAGGAAUAAGUCCCGGCUAACUACGUGCCAGCAGCCGCGGU